rnacentral:snoRNA from 1 species
ACGACCUUACUUGAACAGGAUCUGUUCUAUAGGCUCAUACCUCUGUAUCCUUGAGUUCUAAGGAGAUAGGAACCUAAGUCUGGUAGAAGAAUUAUGUAAAAAAAAAAAAAAAACCUUCAAGUCUAAUUUGAAUAUCAUUUUUAACAACAACGAUCAAAGUAGGCCUUUUUUUAUCAGCAAGACA